rnacentral:piRNA from 1 species
UGAUUAUAGCAUGGUAUAGUGAAGAAGGUC